rnacentral:rRNA from 1 species
AUACGGAGGGUGCAAGCGUUAAUCGGAAUUACUGGGCGUAAAGCGCGCGUAGGCGGCUAAGUAAGUCGGAUGUGAAAGCCCCGGGCUCAACCUGGGAACUGCAUUCAAAACUGUUUGACUAGAGUAUGGUAGAGGGAAGUGGAAUUCCAGGUGUAGCGGUGAAAUGCGUAGAUAUCUGGAGGAACAUCAGUGGCGAAGGCGACUUCCUGGGCCAAUACUGACGCUGAGGUGCGAAAGCGUGGGGAGCAAACAGGAUUAGAAACCCCGGUAGUCC